rnacentral:rRNA from 1 species
UGGCUCAGGAUGAACGCUGGCGGCGUGCCUAACACAUGCAAGUCGAACGGACCUAUAUUAACAGAGACUCGGUUGAAGUUGGUUUAGGUUAGUGGCGGACGGGUGAGUAACGCGUGGAGAACCUGCCCUGUACUGGGGGAUAACAGUGAGAAAUCACUGCUAAUACCGCAUAAGCGCACGAAACCGCAUGGUUUUGUGUGAAAAACUCCGGUGGUACAGGAUGGCUCCGCGUUGGAUUAGCCAGUUGGCGGGGUAACGGCCCACCAAAGCUACGAUCCAUAGCCGGCCUGAGAGGGUGAACGGCCACAUUGGGACUGAGACACGGCCCAGACUCCUACGGGAGGCAGCAGUGGGGAAUAUUGCACAAUGGGGGGAACCCUGAUGCAAGCGACGCCGCGUGAAGGAAGAAGUAUCUCGGUAUGUAAACUUCUAUCAGCAGGGAAGAAAAUGACGGUACCUGACUAAGAAGCCCCGGCUAACUGCGUGCCAGCCGCUGC